UACGAAGGGUGCAAGCGUUACUCGGAAUCACUGGGCGUAAAGCGUGCGUAGGUGGUUCGUUAAGUCUGUUGUGAAAGCCCUGGGCUCAACCUGGGAACUGCAGUGGAUACUGGCGAGCUAGAGUACGGUAGAGGAAGGUGGAAUUCCCGGUGUAGCGGUGAAAUGCGUAGAGAUCGGGAGGAACACCAGUGGCGAAGGCGGCCUUCUGGACCAGUACUGACGCUGAGGCACGAAAGCGUGGGGAGCAAACAGG
rnacentral:rRNA from 1 species